CAGAUAGCAUCCAGAGAAACCUCAAAAUUUAUUUACUGUGAAUUUAUUGAGGUAACCACUUCCACGAAAAUAUUUUAUAUUCACGAAACUGUAAGUUGUUCCAAUUAUAUAGAUAUCAAAAGGACCGUUAUAACUUUACCGAUAAUCGUAAUUGAUAAUCAAAAAUUUUCUAUUUGUCAAUUGUCAUUAAAGUGGAGUCAAUCCGGAGCAAAUUAUAUAUAUUGAGUUUCAUAUGUGAAAGGCUCCAUUCAAGCCUCAAAAUAGUGAAUAAUCUAGUAAAUUAUUGAUUGGAUUGGAACUUUGAAUCAAAGUUAUAUCACCAGAUCGCAGAUUAACUAAAAACAAAUAAACAAUGACACAAAGUGAAGAAAAGAAUGUAAAAAUUUAUAACGAUGAAAAAAACUACCCAUGUAACUUUAUCAAGAUUAGUGGAAAAGAAAUGUAAGAUCUAUGUUUAAUCAUUGAUAUUCAUUGUGACGGGGGCUGGCAAAAUGUUGGAUAUUCAUCAGAUACGGUACCUGAACAAAAUGAAUAACAUUGGAUAUAGAAAGAAAGCUCAGAUAUUGGAUUUUAAUAAUCAUAUAGAGUUGAAUAUGAUCCGAUUUCCAUUUACCUUUUGGCGAUAUUUGUUACUAGAUGCUACCAAAUAAUGAGAAGAUUUUCUAAUGGAAUCCAUAGCAACAGUGUUUCGACAGAUCCUUAUCAACCGUGAAGAAACAUCAGUUUGACGCAAAGUAAUUUUGAAAAUUCCAGUUCUAAUUAAAAAUGCCUCUCUACAUAUUCGAUUAUUUGCCAUUGCUCCAACCAGAUGCACCUCUACUGAAUUGUGUUCAAGUUAUGAAUCCACCUUGUGUAAUUUGCCCUGGUCCUCCAUGUCCACCAUGUUGUCCCAGUAAUCCGUGUCCCCCCUGUUAGUAAUAAAUAGCUACUGAUAUUCACUUUGGAUUGCAUUGUCAGCAGACAUUUGAAGUAAUGUUAGCCUUUGUAUUGUCGAAAUAAUAUGAAAACAUUGACGAUGUGAUACUUUCGCCAAAUAAAAUGUCAACAAUAAAUUGUAACUCUCAAUUGUUUCCAAACCAAUAAAAGCGACAUUAAAAAUAAAUAUUUUUAUCUAAUAUUAUCGAAACACAUACUGAAGGAUUCCAUUUGAAGUCAAGAUCAAUAGAAAAAUUUUACAAACGUUUAAAGAGAGAGAGUUUGGUAUUAAAUCGUUUUACUGUGAAAUUCAUGAAAUGAAAUCAAUCUAAAAGUAUUUGAUAGAAGAUGUGAGCAGAAAAUUGAAGGCCAAGCGAUCUGUUAUGAAAUAUGAAAUCUUUCAUGGAGGCAAAUGAUUGAAAACCAUUGAAAAUAAUAGAAAACUUGUUAGAAGUGAUACACCUCUCAUUUAAUAUCGAUGUGAAAAUAUAAAAUAUCACCAACUUAAUGUAAUAAAGUAAAUUCUCCUUAUUUAUCUGGAAAAGAAUUGAAGCCAUUUUAACUUUGAUUAUCUGAUUAGAGUAUAGUUUGAAAUUAAUUAUUUCUGAUAUCAUUGAUUUUAACACCAUGACAAGUUCCACAUUAAUGAAUCACUAAUUGUGGAGAUAGCUCAUUAAGGGAUGUUUGUGCAUAGGUAUAUAAUGAGGAGCGACAACAUCAAACAGCUAGAUGUACGAGGUAAAACUAUAAGUAAAUACGAUCGGGGCGGAGUACCUUCGCGGUGGAUGGUCCUGCAACUAUUCCGGUGAUGUUUAAUUCAUUUUUGGACAAAUAGAGAAAUGAAAAUUGCUUUUGAGGUGCUGCAACGUAAAUGGACCAAUACAUGGAAAUAAGAUGAAAGUAUGAAAUAAAUAGGUGCGAGAAGUCUUACAAGAAGGGAUCACGGGAAGCAACAUUACUUCUUCUGUGAAAGUUGGCAUCUGAGGAUACGAUUGAAUCCUAAAGUUCAUUUAUAAUGAUGCUAUAUUGCAAACAAUCAACUAUCACUGUAUAUGAUUAGAAGGUACAAUGAAUCAAAAAUUUGAUUCAUCACUACAACAGAGAACUUCUUUAAUAUCAAAGAAGACUUUGACUAUGGAAAUGAUAUUGAGACAUUGUGGGAACGUUUGACUGAAAAAUUUGUUUUUGUUUAAAAAAGCGGGAAAGCGAUGUCUAUUUGAUUAUAAUCAUUGAUCAUCAAGUGAAAGAUAAAUUUCCAUUCAAUGGAAACGAUCACAAGCUGAAAUAAUAGCGAUCUGCUGUCCUGGAUGUAAUGUUAUAUUAUGGAUAAUUUUGCUAUUCUAAUGGCUUUAAUAAGUAUAUGAAAAUAUUUUUCUUGUAGAUCAAUGCAUUCAAAUGGACAUUUACAAACUUCUAGUGGAAUUUUUACUGAAGUGGAUUCAGCUCCCAUCUGAUGGAUAGUCUUUAUUUCCUUUUUCUCGAGUGAUAUGUCACUUCUCAACUUGUGAGUCAAAGUUUCGAAAACUGAUAUUCAUGGUUGAGAUUUUAGUAAUUUGGAAGCGACUUAUUUUAAUUGGAUGUAGCAGCCACAGAAAGUAGAUUUAUUCAUGUUUAAUCAUAUUUCCAUAAACGCAGUUACCAAAUAGAACGUUGUAAGUAAUUUCUAAUUAUAA